rnacentral:rRNA from 1 species
ACUCAAAUGAAUUGACGGGGGCCCGCACAAGCGGUGGAACAUGUGGUUUAAUUCGAUGAUACGCGAAAAACCUCACCAGGGUUUGACAUGUAAGAAGUAGUGAACCGAAAGGGGAUCCGACUGUCAAGUCAGUAACUUACACAGGUGCUGCAUGGCUGUCGUCAGCUCGUGUCGUGAGAUGUUGGGUUAAGUCCCGCAACGAGCGCAACCAUUUUCUCUUGUUGCCACUCCCGCCUGUUGGAAACGAUGGGCGGGAAGCACUCUAGAGGGACUGCCUGGGAUAACCAGGAGGAAGGUGGAGAUGACGUCAAGUCAGUACGGCCUUUAUGCUCUGGGCUACACACGUGUUACAAUGGGAAGUACAGAGGGUUGCCAACCCGUGAGGGGGAGCUAAUCUCUAAAAACUUUCCUCAGUUCAGAUUGAAGUCUGCAAUCCGACUUCAUGAAGCCGGAAUCGCUAGUAAUGGCAGAUCAGCACGCUGCCGUGAAUACGUUCCCGGGCCUUGUACACACCGCCCGU